rnacentral:rRNA from 1 species
CAGUAGCCACGGGAAUACGAAGGGGGCUAGCGUUGUUCGGAUUUACUGGGCGUAAAGGGCGCGUAGGCGGACUGAUAAGUCAGGGGUGAAAUCCCAAGGCUCAACCUUGGAACUGCCUUUGAUACUGUUUGUCUUGAGUUCGAGAGAGGUAAGUGGAACUGCGAGUGUAGAGGUGAAAUUCGUAGAUAUUCGCAAGAACACCAGUGGCGAAGGCGACUCUCUGGUCUGUAACUGACGCUGAGGAGCGAAAGCGUGGGGAGCGAACAGGAUUAGAUACCCGCGUAGUCCCUGUCUCUUAUAC